CGCCGGGCAGCAGUUCCAGUGCGGUUCUCGUGCCCACAGUCUGCUGCUUUACAGAACAGAGAGGAAGGAUGAUCUUGUGCUUAAGGAACUCAGUGAAAGUCUUUUAAACUGGAAGCCAAUGAAUAAAUGCUGCCUAAGGAGGAAGCUGAAAUGUGAACUCUGCUCAGCAUGCUACAGCUCCCACAGAGGCUGGACAGCCUACAGUUAUCUUUGGCACAGUUUCCCAUGCAUUGAAGUGAUGUUAUAAGGGCGCUCUUUUAAAUGAAAGAAAAAUACACACAUAAAACUGA